rnacentral:lncRNA from 1 species
AGGCUGCAGAAAAUGCUGUGCCCGGUCAGACAAAAUGGAUUAGAAAGGGAGUAUGUUCACCAUGGGCCAUGAAGAUUGUCAUUGUUUGGCCAACUACAGAGCAAUUUGAGAUUCAGCAGUUUCUUCUCCAGUUAAAAAAAAUAAAAGGAGAAGGACUCUACUGAGAUGGAUUAUUACUCAAAGUGCUCUAAUUCCCAACUGGUGUUUUUCUGUGGUCACUACUGCAUCCCUGGCCUCUCCGGACUUAGCGCUGUUGGGCAAAUUGCCUGGCCUCCGGAAUGCAGCUUGUGUGUCCGUGCCAGUUCUUAGUGCCCUGGAGUCCUCCAGUCCUGAUAAAAGUCUUCAGCCACAGAUUAAGCCAGAAGCUACUGUAUGACCACAAGGAUCAGAGGAGCCCUGCCUCUCUUUACUGGGAUGGCCUUUGGGGGAAGUUUAGCUGGGUCACGCCUGUCCCGGCCCGCGGUACUGGAGAAACCAAAAACCCACCAACAACCAGCCUGGAAGGAGAACCUGCCUGAGUUCAGAUAAGGCUCUACCACUUCCGAGUUGGCCGACUUCAAGUAAGUUACUCACUUGAUGUAGCCAAGCCUCAGGUACUUCAUCUGUGGUAUGGAGUAAUAAUUUUAUCAAAUUCCCAAGAUGGUUGUGAAGAUUAAAGAUGAUAAUCCCUGCAACAUGCUUAGUAUGUAGUAGACUCUCAGAAAAUAUUAGUGUUUUCCUCCCUCCCAGAAAUGGUUUUUGAGGUUCCAACUGAUCUUUAGUUCAUAUUGUAAUUAAUGUUCCAAGGUAAGAGUCUUUCUGUAUUCCUACUUCUCUUAAAAUAUACAAUUUAAUUUGAAAUGCAUACAAAUGCCUUUCACAAAUUUGAAUGUAAAAUGAAGAAAUAAGUUUGGAAGUAAUUAGGCAAUUGGCCAAAUUGGAAUCAAUCUCCAACUUUCUAUCCUUCUUGCAUGUACAUUGCUGAUAAUUUCCUUGCUUGCUCAUGACUGUUCAGGAGCCAAGAGGGAUUGGGACAGUUUUGUCCAGGGAGUCAGCAUUUAAUGUACCUCAUUCUAGGUGGUUAAUGAUUGGGAAAUUCUAAUGGAGGGAAAAUUAUACUUCAGAGAAUUAGUACCAGGGAGAGUGCAAUUCAGCUCAAUAAAGAGUACUAUUAGCAAAACAAAUAUGGUUUUUGAAUACAUAGACAAAAAAAUCUCCCUCAUGUAUUUAUUCUUCUUCUAAAAUAUGCCAGAGACCCCUGGCCUGCGUCCCUCGUCAUAUAUACACUCUUCAUGUGAGAAGACUAGCAGGAAGAGGGAGACCUGGGGACCAUCCCGACACUGGUGAAGAUUUUGCAAUCUCCAGUCAAAUCCAUAGACAUCCUCAGUUCCUGCAAACAUGAUACUCCAUCUGCUUGUCCCAUUUAAAUGUAGUCUUUAUAGAACCUGAGUAAUUGUUAAAAUGUAUUUUCAUAAAAUAAUUUUGUCAUCUGAUGCCAAGCAUGUUGUCUUAAGUGCAUUGCUGCUUUGGAAUUUAAUGUUUUAUCUAUUUUUGUGGUCUCUCCUUAAUUGUUAUGUAUGCUAUUCAUACAUGUUUCAUGGCUUAGGCACCCAAGCAACGAUGAUCUUUCUGCCAUUUAUGCCAACACACUAUUUAUACUACCUGAAGAUUGCAAAUCCAAGGCAUUACUAGAUGACACUGUAUCACAGCAUUACGGUAGAGUUUACUUCCCAAAUAAAGCUUUUCUUGUGCGUCAAUAUUAAAUUGGCUUAUAUUCUCUCAUCACACAUGGUGAAAAUUGUGGAAGAAGGCAGACUAGGAGUUUCAAGACAGUGGGAGUGAAGAGUGUACAUACUUGUGUCUGAAUACCAGAAAAAUCCUUAAGGAUGGUAUUUGGUUGAAAUAAUACCAAUGUAGUUAUUAAAAAUAAUACC